AUUGAACGCUGGCGGCAUGCUUUACACAUGCAAGUCGAACGGUAACAGGCCGCAAGGUUCUGACGAGUGGCGAACGGGUGAGUAAUGCAUCGGAACGUGCCCAGUCGUGGGGGAUAACUACUCGAAAGAGUAGCUAAUACCGCAUACGAUCUAUGGAUGAAAGCGGGGGACCGUAAUGCCUCGCGCGAUUGGAGCGGCCGAUGUCAGAUUAGGUAGUUGGUGGGGUAAAGGCUCACCAAGCCAACGAUCUGUAGCUGGUCUGAGAGGACGACCAGCCACACUGGGACUGAGACACGGCCCAGACUCCUACGGGAGGCAGCAGUGGGGAAUUUUGGACAAUGGGCGCAAGCCUGAUCCAGCAAUGCCGCGUGCAGGAAGAAGGCCUUCGGGUUGUAAACUGCUUUUGUACGGAACGAAACGGCUCUGGUUAAUACCCGGGGCUAAUGACGGUACCGUAAGAAUAAGCACCGGCUAACUACGUG
rnacentral:rRNA from 1 species